rnacentral:misc_RNA from 1 species
CAGGACUCGUCAGACUCCCGUAAACCACCGUGAACCUACCUAUCGUUGCCUCGGCGGGUGCUCGAGCUCGCUCGGCCCGCCGCUGGCCCCCUACACUGAAUCACUGCGUUGGCAUCUCAGAGUACACAAACGAAUCA